GAGAGGUACCUGACGUUAACCGACAGCUUCUUCAAGGGCCCCCUGGAGUCAUCCCACGAUUUCCGCCCCUUCUUUGCGUCCACAUCUCACAUCUACUACCAUCGUCGGUCCCUCCUUUCCGGGUCGUCGCGGUUGCUAUCGUAUCGAUCUGGGCUAUCUGGCUGGAUCUCUGUUUGACUUGUCCACGUUUUAAAUAAGGCAUUGCUUUCUUGUACCUUUUUUAUCCGUUUUUUUUUUCUUCCCUUUUUUUCUUCUUUUUGGGGAAAAUUUGGAGACAGACACCAACGAAAGACACCACCAAACCGACCACCACCACCACUACCACCACCACUUACAACAAACGAACUCUCAGCUCCAACGCUCGAACCGCGCAAUCGCAACGCAACCCGCCACCCGUCUGGGAACCUCAAGCGCCCACAAAGCCCUGUUCCGCGCCGGCACCGCAGUGCUUACCCGCUCCGUUGUCCCACGAUAAUAUCUUGCGCGACACCCUCUCCAUCUUCAGGUUCCUAUCCUAGACCUACCUAACUACCUACCUUGGGUUCUUAGUCCUAGCUUCCUUGGAGACUUGCUGCUGUUGGUGAACCCUAGUUCUACCUCUUCUAGGCUGGCCAACAGAUCCACGCAACUUUGUACGCCGUGCUCAUAGUUUGCGACACCUCUGACCUCUUUGGCUUUGCCAAUCCCCGGCCGUCUUCUCCCGCCUUCCUGACUCGAAUCUGGUGAUUUACACCACUGCCCGCGGCUUUUGGUUUCGCCCAAUUACGCACUCUUCUGCCAUCCAACAAGCACAGAGCUUUGCGCCAGUUCGCUACGCCAAACUCCUGAUUGUCGCGCCAUCCGCCUUCAGUGUUUCUCGAGCCCCCAUCUUUAACUGAAAAAGUUAAUAGUCGACACAAGAGACGAUUCUCAUUGUGCGGGCUGGAGACAAGACAGUCGAAAAAGGAAAAAAAAAGGAAAAAAAAAACCCCUCCGACAGAACGGAAAAGAGG